GUCACCUUAUUGGCUACCGGAGUCGUUGACUUCCGGAAACAUUGAGGUUUAGCUCUCUGAAUACAUCCAUGAGGUUCAAACAGAACUGAUGAAAAUGCGUUCAUUUCUACCUGCAGUGGCCGAACAGCUUUUCAGAGAUAUUCAAAAAACAUACCAGGAAACGUCCCAAAUUCCUGACGACCUGCUUAUUGCGCUGAAGUUUGUCUUCGGACCUUGUGCACUGCAGGCUUUGGACCUUGUUGACCAGCAUUCAGUCACCUGUCUGUCGUCUCCCAGUGGACGCAAAGCAUUCCAGGUAAUGGGAGGCUCGGGUCGUUUGUACACCUGCUUUGUGUCCUGUCACUACUGCCCGUGCCCGGCCUUCGCCUACACCGUGCUCCGCAGAAACGAGGGCCCGCUGUGCAAACACAUCCUGGCUGUCUACCUGUGUCAGGCCAUGGGUGUGACUCAGCAGGAGAGCGUGUCUGAUCAGCAGAUGUCCAUGCUGCUCAGUGGGACAGCAGAGCCGUGACACCCAGCCCUUGAAGUUAGUCAGAGGUGGUACACUGGACACAGCCGCAAAUGAGGGGAGAUAGUGAAGCAGUGGAGGCAAGUGCUCAACACUUACACCAACACAACAUGGUUCAACACCACCAAUAUAGCACAUCAAACGGGAAAUAAUGGAAAAUGUCAGUGCAAUGUGUUUUCAUUUGUGUAGUGAUGGCUCUCAAGGGACUAAAUUCACCCUCAUUUCUUUCACAUAAGUUACAAGACUCCAAACAAAACUCUGCUUUGCUCUGAUUUAAAUUCACGAGACCUUUUUUUUGUGAUUUUUCAGCUGUCACCCCCCUGCCUUCAGUUUUAGAAGCUCAACAGGAACAUGCACAACAACACUAACCCUGCAAAAAAGCCGUGUUGCCUCGAACUAUGAUGCUGCAUGCGAGCACCGUCGAGUGCAAAGAACAGCUCGUCUCAGUUCAGUCAGUGACUUCAGCAGCUUGUGGACAACUGACUGCGCUAACGGGGCAGAUGAGAGCCUCGGGAUGCCAGCUGAGACUGUGUCUGAGGGAAGGGGGUGGUUGUCAGCUGGACUCAUAAGGCAAGUGACAUUUCAUUUACACCCAACUG